UACGUAGGCAGCAAGCGUUGUUCGGAGUUACUGGGCGUAAAGGGUGCGUAGGCGGUUGUUUAAGUUUGGUGUGAAAUCUCCCGGCUCAACUGGGAGGGUGCGCCGAAUACUGAAUGACUAGAGUGCGGGAGAGGAGAGUGGAAUUCCUGGUGUAGCGGUGAAAUGCGUAGAUAUCAGGAGGAACACCGGUGGUGUAGACGGCUCUCUGGACCGUAACUGACGCUGAGGCACGAAAGCGUGGGGAGCAAACAGG
rnacentral:rRNA from 1 species